rnacentral:rRNA from 1 species
GAUGAACGCUGGCGGCGUGCCUAAUACAUGCAAGUCGAGCGAAUGGAUUAAGAGCUUGCUCUUAUGAAGUUAGCGGCGGACGGGUGAGUAACACGUGGGUAACCUGCCCAUAAGACUGGGAUAACUCCGGGAAACCGGGGCUAAUACCGGAUAACAUUUUGAACCGCAUGGUUCGAAAUUGAAAGGCGGCUUCGGCUGUCACUUAUGGAUGGACCCGCGUCGCAUUGCUAGUUGGUGAGGUAACGGCUCACCAAGGCAACGAUGCGUAGCCGACCUGAGAGGGUGAUCGGCCACACUGGGACUGAGACACGGCCCAGACUCCUACGGGAGGCAGCAGUAGGGAAUCUUCCGCAAUGGACGAAAGUCUGACGGAGCAACGCCGCGUGAGUGAUGAAGGCUUUCGGGUCGUAAAACUCUGUUGUUAGGGAAGAACAAGUGCUAGUUGAAUAAGCUGACACCUUGACGGUACCUAACCAGAAAACCACGGCUAACUACGUGCCAGCCGCCGCUGUAA